ACUCCUACGGGAGGCAGCAGUGGGGAAUAUUGCACAAUGGGCGAAAGCCUGAUGCAGCGACGCCGCGUGAGGGAUGACGGCCUUCGGGUUGUAAACCUCUUUCAGCAGGGAAGAAGCUUAAUCGUGACGGUACCUGCAGAAGAAGCACCGGCUAACUACGUGCCAGCAGCCGCGGUAAUACGUAGGGUGCGAGCGUUGUCCGGAAUUAUUGGACGUAAAGAGCUUGUAGGCGGUUUGUCGCGUCUGCUGUGAAAACUCGGGGCUUAACCCCGAGCCUGCAGUGGGUACGGGCAGACUAGAGUAUGGUAGGGGAGACUGGAAUUCCUGGUGUAGCGGUGGAAUGCGCAGAUAUCAGGAGGAGCACCGAUGGCGAAGGCAGGUCUCUGGGCCAUAACUGACGCUGAGAAGCGAAAGCAUGGGGAGCGAACAGGAUUAGAUACCCUGGUAGUCCAUGCCGUAAACGUUGGGCGCUAGGUGUGGGGCUCAUUC
rnacentral:rRNA from 1 species